rnacentral:rRNA from 1 species
UGUUAAACGGUAAACCAGAAACGAAAGAUAUUCCAAUAAAUAAACUACUUGAACCCACGAAAGCUAAGAAACAAACUAGGAUUAGAUACCCUACUAUGCUUAGCCUUAAACUUUGGAACAACCCGCCUGAGUACUACGAGCCACAGCUUAAAACUCAAAGGACUUGGCGGUGCUCUACACCCCCCUAGAGGAGCCUGUUCUAUAAUUGAUACUCCCCGUUAAACCUCACCACUUAUUGCCAAUACCGCUUAUAUACCGCCGUCGUCAGCUCACCAUUUAAAUGAAAAAUAGUAGGCAUAAUGAUAAACAUAAAAACGUCAGGUCAAGGUGUAGCGAAUUAAGUGGAAAGAAAUGGGCUACAUUUUCUAAACUAGAAAAUACGAAAAAUUUUAUGAAAAACUAUUUAAAGGUGGAUUUAGCAGUAAAAAGAAAAUAGAGUGUUCUUUUUAAAUAG